AAGUCGUAACAAGGUUUCGGUUAAACUUUUCUAACUAGCGGAUCAGAGGUCCAGUGAAAAGCUGAGACAUAGUCUUUGCAGGUAGGCUGCAAAGGCGACACUGUCAAAUUGCGGCAAAACCCUUAGUCCUGUUGUCUACCAAGUUGUUGUGGAAACAGAGCAUUGUUAACCAAAAGAAGGCUGAAAAGCCUGAGUGCUGGUUAGAGUUUCUGGGCUCGGAUUCAGCGAGGUGAACUAUUGUACCUUUCAUUAACCCUGAAAACUUUUGUACUGAACUUUGAAAGCAUUGCGGCAGUCCUUGUUGGCAUCGGUCACCCGGGAUCGCUUAACCCUUUGUCUUUCUACAAUUUACGUAAUUAAGAACAACUCUUAACAACGGAUAUCUUGGCUCUC
rnacentral:misc_RNA from 1 species